UCAAUAGCCUAACGGCUGAACCAGCAACUUGGAAGAAUGUAUAGCGAUUGCUAACUGCUUCAUACCACAAAAAAGAUGAAGCAGUCUAGAUUUAAUUCGAUAAAGUUCUGGGUAAAAUUAUGAUAAUGACAUUGUUUAUCUAUGAGUCUUGACCAAAUUACGUGCCAGCAGUCGCGGUAAUACGUAGAAGACUAGUGUUAUUCAUCUUUAAUAGGUUUAAAGGGUACCUAGACGGCAUAUUAAGCCUUAAUUGGAACUGACAUGCUAGAGCUACUUAUGAGGAAGUUUUAAUGUACUAGAGGUGUAGAGAUGAAAUUCAGUCAUACCUUUUUUCUAACGAAAAAUUUCGGCACAGGUAUAGGUGAAAACAUCUUCUUAUGGGAUAACUGACGUUGAGGGACGAAGGCUUUUUAUCGCGAACAGGAUUAGAUACCCUGGUAGUCAAAGCAGAAAAUGAUGAGUGUCAUAGAUUAGAUAAAAAUUUAUUCUAUAAAUGAAAGUGUAAGCACUCCACCUCAAGAGUAAUUUGGCAACAUUGGAACUGAAAUCAUUAGACCGUAUCUGAAACCAGUAGUGAAGUAUGUUAUUUAAUUUGAUAAUCCGCAAAAAACCUUACCACAACUUGAAUAUUUAUUUAUUCACUUUAUCACAAGUUUUGUGUGCAGUCCAGUAUAUAAUCUAGGCUGUUAUUUAAACAAUUAAGCAAUUAUGUGAUAAGUGAAACCCUAUAGAUACAAGUGUUGCACGGCUGUCUUCAGUUAAUGUCGUGAGACUAUGGUUAGCUCCAGUAAAUUAACGUAAACCCUUGCUCUUCUUCGAAGAAGAGUAGUUCUCCGCUAUAUUGGAUAAGAUAACAGGGAUCAAGACAAGUCAUCAUGGCCUUAAUGUUGUGGGCUAUAGACGUGCCACGUGAGCCUUUACAAAAGGAUGUGAAAUUGUGAAAUUGAG
rnacentral:rRNA from 1 species